CAGCGAAGGGUGGCGCUAUUUCACCUAGUGACCGUGGUGUGAAAAUGUUUUUUUGAUGACACUGCGGUGGUAGUAGUUAGUAAGCAGCAGUAAUGCUGUGUUCAACUACUUGUGGGAACUUGGAAACUCGGAAAUGUCCGACUUGCUAACUGGUGAUAGUUAUACACGUGCGGUGUUGAACGACUCAUCAGGUCGGACAUUUCUUAGGUCAUAGUUCCGACUAGUAUUUUAACGCGGCCUAAGUAGGCAGGCACCCCUCACGAGCGAUCUAUUGUGAUCAUCGGUUCGCACAGCUGGUCUGUUCUCCUACCGAAAAGGGAACGGAACAUUCGCUACGGCUUCUUUUCCACCAGGUUCUUAACUUCGAAUCCUCAAUAGUCAUGCUGGAAGCGACACCUUCGCAGAUUUAGGCGACAUUAUCGGAGAUAAUAAACUAGCACACGCAGACAACAAAUUAUUCCUCUUUUUACGGCGUGUGGAAAGACUGCAUCCGGACUGAAAAGAAACUCCGGGGACGGGGACACUGGUCGGAACAACGCACAUCGUUUCUGUACAGGUAUCGUCCCGGCCCUACUAGAUACAUUAGUUGGCAGGAUGGAGCCUUGCUGCUUGGCAGACAGAACCCUGUAGAGCAGCUUUACAGUACAGACUACAGGAGGGUGUUUCUCUGGGUUCACUUCAAGGAUGACUCA
rnacentral:lncRNA from 1 species